CCGAGUUUACAACUCCCAAACCCCUGUGAACAUACCACUUGUUGCCUCGGCGGAUCAGCCCGCUCCCGGUAAAACGGGACGGCCCGCCAGAGGACCCCUAAACUCUGUUUCUAUAUGUAACUUCUGAGUAAACCAUAAAUAAAUCA
rnacentral:misc_RNA from 1 species